UACAGAGGUCUCAAGCGUUGUUCGGAAUCACUGGGCGUAAAGGGCGCGUAGGCGGCUCGGUAAGUAGGGGGUGAAAUCCUGCGGCUUAACCGCAGGGCUGCCUUCUAAACUGUCGAGCUUGAGCACGGUAGAGGCAGAUGGAAUUCCCGGUGUAGCGGUGGAAUGCGUAGAGAUCGGGAAGAACAUCAGUGGCGAAGGCGGUCUGCUGGGCCGUUGCUGACGCUGAGGCGCGACAGCGUGGGGAGCAAACAGG
rnacentral:rRNA from 1 species